rnacentral:tRNA from 1 species
CUGCGUGUAGCCCAGUCUGGUAGGGCACCGGCUUUGGGAGCCGACAGUCGGGGGUUCAAAUCCCUCCACGCAGACCA